AACUCGACCGGCUCGAUUCACUUCCGUGGAACCAGUCUCUUUCAGAGGAUGAUCCCUUCUCUGCCUUUGUUGGCUCUCACAAGCUUGAAGGAGGUUUUCUUUCUCUUGAAGAGAUUGAUGAGGCUGGUUAUGGUUUAGAGAUUCCUAAUGUUGACGAGGGAAAGCCAGGGAGAAAUGUAAAAUCAAAGAAACGGAAGCAUAAUAAUGCUGACGAUGGAACUGAAGAGAAAGUGGAGGAAGAAGAGAAGACUGGGGAGAAUGAGGAAAAGAAAAAGAAGAGGAAGAAGAAGAAGAAGAAGAAAAAUAAGGCAAAGGAAACCCAGAAAAAUGAAGAACCCGCGGCCGUUAGCAAUGGAAAGGAUGAGGAUGAUGUUGAUGGAGAAUUGGUUGAUGAGACUGAUUUUCAUGCAUGGAAUGAGCUGAGACUUCAUCCUUUGCUCAUGAAAUCAAUAUAUAGGCUUGGGUUCAAGGAGCCAACACCAAUACAGAAAGCUUGUAUUCCUGCUCCAGCUCAUCAAGGGAAGGAUGUUGUUGGUGCUGCAGAGACUGGUUCUGGAAAGACGCUUGCUUUUGGUUUGCCCAUCUUCCAACGUCUUUUGGAGGAAAGAUAUAAGGCUACAAAAAUGUUUGAGGAAAUGGGCGAUGAAGCUGAAAAGUUUGCUCCAAAAUGUCUCAUGCGGGCACUUAUCAUCACUCCUACAAGGGAGCUUGCACUUCAGGUAACUGAUCAUCUUAAGGAAGUGGCUAAGGGUAUUAGCAUUAGGGUGGUUCCUAUUGUUGGGGGAAUGUCAACAGAGAAGCAGGAAAGACUCUUAAAAGCAAGGCCUGAGGUUAUUGUUGGAACUCCUGGUCGAUUAUGGGAACUUAUGUCAGGAGGAGAAAAGCAUCUUGUUGAGUUGCAUUCAUUGUCUUUCUUUGUGCUGGAUGAAGCUGAUCGAAUGAUUGAAAAUGGACAUUUCCGUGAGUUGCAGUCAAUAAUUGACAUGCUGCCUGCGGCCAAUGGCUCCGUUGAAGUUGAAGGCCAAUCUCAAAAUGCACAAAGUUGUGUGACUCUGUCAACCUUGCAAAGAAAGAAAAGACAAACAUUUGUUUUUUCUGCACAACGAUAGCAUUAUCUGCUGAUUUUCGCAAGAAGCUAAAGCGUGGUUUGCUAAAAUCAAAGGAAGAAAAAACUGGAGGAUUGAAUUCUAUAGAAACUCUCUCUGAACGUGCAGGAAUAAGAGCUGAUGCAGCCAUCAUUGAUCUGACAAAUGCAUCAAUCCUGGCACAUAAGCUUGAGGAAUCAUUUAUUGAAUGCAGGGAAGAAGAUAAAGAUGCUUACCUAUACUACCUAUUGAGUGUUCAUGGACAAGGUCGCACAAUUGUUUUCUGUACAUCAAUUGCAGCUUUGCGCCAUAUUUCUGCCCUCUUGCGCAUUCUAGGAGUACAUGUUUGGACACUGCAUGCUCAGAUGCAGCAGCGAGCUCGUUUGAAGGCAAUUGAUCGUUUUCGCUCAAAUGAACAUGGUAUACUUAUUGCUACUGAUGUUGCUGCCAGAGGCCUCGAUAUUCCUGGUGUUCGAACUGUUGUUCACUAUCAGCUCCCACAUUCAGCAGAAGUUUAUGUUCACAGAAGUGGAAGAACUGCUAGAGCUUUUACUGAUGGAUGCAGCAUUGCUUUAAUCUCACCUAAUGAUACCUCAAAAUUUGCCUCUUUAUGCAAAUCUUUUGCAAAGGAAAGUUUUCAGAGAUUUCCUUUAGAGGAAUCAUACAUGCCUGAGGUGAUAAAACGAUUGUCUCUUGCACGCCAAAUAGACAAGAUUAUGCGGAAAGAGUCACAGGAGAAGGCAAAGAAAACCUGGUUUGAACGAAAUGCAGAAUUGGUUGAGUUAAUUGUGGAGAAGGAUGAUAGUGAGGAUGAAAGAGUGAACAAUUAUAAGCAAAAGAAAAUCACCUCCAUGCAAUUGAACAAAUUACAGCAGGAGCUCAAUACAUUGCUUUCGCGCCCAUUGGAACCAAAAUCAUUUUCACAUCGUUAUUUGGCAGGGGCUGGUGUUUCACCUCUCCUGCAACACCAGUUAGAAGAAUUAGCUAGGCAAAAUAUGGGCAAUGAUUUGGGAGGUAACAAAAAAAGGAAAUUGGUGGUUAUUGGUCAAGAUUGUGUGGAGCCACUUCAGGCACUCCGAAGUGCUGGUCAUGAGGUGCGCGUGUAUGUGAAGGAGAUGGCAGAAAAACGAAAAAGUAUGGAGAAUUUGAGGAGGAAAAGAAAAGAGGAGAAGAAAAGAUCAAGAGAUCAGCGAAGGAGGCAGAAGAAAAACUCAACUCGAGAUAAUGAGUAGAAUAGCUAUAUAUGAAGGUGCCUUUCCCUUUCCAACUUGCAAUCAAUUUGAUGGGUGUAGAGGGUCUCUUCUUAUACCUCAAAAGAAAUACACAUAGCAAAAGCAAUGUUUUUCUAUGUAACAUUUUGUGCUGGACAUAAAAGUCUAAGCAUGUGUAAGCCAUUGAAUUUGUAAUACAGGAUGUGAUCAACCAAUGAGCUAAGAUUUAGAAUUUCGGAAAUCAGCAUUUGUAGCUGGCUCAGUUAAUUAAAAAAAAAAAGAUGGCUCGAGAAGGUGCCUUGAGUUCUGACUUUCAUUGAUCUUUUAUAUUGUUGGAUGUAAUAAGCUGAAUACAAUUUUCUGGACCCAAUUGCGGCUGCAGGCAGUUGAUCAUCGAGAAAUGUUUGCAGUGAGUGAAAGCAGUUCAGAUUAUUA
rnacentral:misc_RNA from 1 species